UAGGAAUCUUGGACAAUGGGCGCAAGCCUGAUCCAGCCAUGCCGCGUGAGUGAUGAAGGCCUUAGGGUUGUAAAGCCCUUUUACCCGGGCUGAUAAUGACAGUACCGGGAGAAUAAGCCCCGGCUCACUCCGUGCCAGCAGCCGCGGUAAUACGGAGGGGGCUAGCGUUGUUCGGAAUUACUGGGCGUAAAGCGCACGUAGGCGGCUUUGUAAGUUAGAGGUGAAAGCCCGGAGCUCAACUCCGGAACUGCCUUUAAGACUGCAUCGCUCGAACGUCGGAGAGGUAAGUGGAAUUCCGAGUGUAGAGGUGAAAUUCGUAGAUAUUCGGAAGAACACCAGUGGCGAAGGCGACUUACUGGACGACUGUUGACGCUGAGGUGCGAAAGCGUGGGGAGCAAA
rnacentral:rRNA from 1 species